GGCCAUAGCUCAGUGCUAGAAUACCCAUCUUGCAUGUAGAAGGUCCCAGGUUCAAUUCCUGGCAUCUCCA